GACGAACGCUGGCGGCGUGCUUAACACAUGCAAGUCGAACGGCAAGGCCCUGCUUUCGUGGGCUUCUCGAUUGGCGAACGGGUGAGUAUCACGUGUGUAACCUGCCCUUGUUUUUCGUAUAACUUCACGUAACUGGGGCUACUACCGUAUAGCAUCUCCUGCUCCAUUGUGGGCGUUGGAUAUUUUCGGCGGUUGGGGAUGGACUCGCGGCUUAUCAGCUUGUUGGUGGGCUAGUGGCUUACCAAGGCUUUGACGGGUCCCCGGCCUGGGAGGGUGACCGGCCACAAGGGGACUGAGAUACGGCCCAGACGCCUACGGGAGGCAGCAGUGGGGAAUAUUGCACAAUGGGCGGAAGCCUGAUGCAGCAACGCCGCGGGCGGGAUGACGGCCUUCGGGGUGUAAACAGCUUUCGCCUGUGACGAAGCGUGAGUGACGGUAAUGGGUAAAGAAGCACCGGCUAACUACGUG
rnacentral:rRNA from 1 species